UACGUAGGGUGCAAGCGUUGUCCGGAAUUAUUGGGCGUAAAGAGCUCGUAGGCGGUUUGUCGCGUCUGCUGUGAAAACGCGAGGCUCAACCUCGCGCCUGCAGUGGGUACGGGCAGACUAGAGUGCGGUAGGGGAGAUUGGAAUUCCGGGUGUAGCGGUGGAAUGCGCAGAUAUCAGGAGGAACACCGAUGGCGAAGGCAGAUCUCUGGGCCGUAACUGACGCUGAGGAGCGAAAGCGUGGGGAGCGAACAGG
rnacentral:rRNA from 1 species